rnacentral:rRNA from 1 species
AGUAACGAUAAAGCGGGUGAAAAGCCCGCUCGCCGGAAGACCAAGGGUUCCUGUCCAACGUUAAUCGGGGCAGGGUGAGUCGACCCCUAAGGCGAGGCCGAAAGGCGUAGUCGAUGGGAAACGGGUUUCAACACCUUUAAUCCGCAAAAAGCGAGCAGCGGCCUCAUCGUCGAUACCCUGGCCGCCCAGUUAUAUGACCGCCUGUUGGAUGUCGAUCCCUAUACUUAUCGUUUAGUCCCAGAGCUGGCAGAAAG